UACAGAGGUCCCAAGCGUUGUUCGGAUUCACUGGGCGUAAAGGGUGCGUAGGUGGCGAGGUAAGUCGGAUGUGAAAGCUCGGAGCUCAACUCCGAAAUGGCAUUGGAAACUACCUUGCUCGAGGGUUGGAGGGGGGACUGGAAUUCCCGGUGUAGCGGUGAAAUGUGUAGAGAUCGGGAGGAACACCGGUGGCGAAGGCGGGUCUCUGGGCAUUUCCUGACGCUGAGGCGCGAAAGCGUGGGGAGCAAACGGG
rnacentral:rRNA from 1 species